GACGUAGGGCGCGAGCGUUGUCCGGAUUUAUUGGGCGUAAAGAGCUCGUAGGCGGCUCGUUGCGUCGGCUGUGAAAAACCCGCAGCUCAACUGUGGGCUUGCAGCUGAUACGGGCGGGCUGGGAUUCGGUAGGGGAGACUGGAAUUCCUGGUGUAGCGGUGAAAUGCGCAGAUAUCAGGAGGAACACCGGUGGCGAAGGCAGGUCUCUGGGCAUUAACUGACGCUGAGGAGCGAAAGCAUGGGGAGCGAACAGG
rnacentral:rRNA from 1 species